GCCUGGCUGGCUCAGAGGGGAGCGAUGUGACUCCCAAUCUCAGGGUUGUGAGUUUGAGUCCCAUGUUGGGCA
rnacentral:tRNA from 1 species